rnacentral:tRNA from 1 species
GGUUUCAUAGUGGAAAUAUAAGAUGUCGGAUUGCAAAUCUGAAGAUGUGAUUAGCUCACUGAAACUU